AGAACGAACGCUGGCGGCAUGCCUAAUACAUGCAAGUCGAACGAACUCUUCGGAGUUAGUGGCGCACGGGUGCGUAACGCGUGGGAAUCUGCCCCUUGGUUCGGAAUAACAGUUGGAAACGACUGCUAAUACCGGAUGAUGACGAAAGUCCAAAGAUUUAUCGCCAAGGGAUGAGCCCGCGUAGGAUUAGCUAGUUGGUGAGGUAAAGGCUCACCAAGGCAACGAU
rnacentral:rRNA from 1 species